rnacentral:rRNA from 1 species
CAGUCGUACCGACGGAAAAUCAGCUCUUUGAGUGCGGACUUGUGGGUUACGUGAGCUUUACGGCCUCGUUGUUUGCAAUGUUCGUUCUUUUUGGGUGUACUUUUUCGUAUGGUAGGCCAAUGUCAGUUUCGAUCGCUAUAAAAUGACCGGCGGAAUGUAGCUUCGAUCUCGUAUUGAAGUGUUAUAGCCUCUGGUAGAUGUGGUGAUUGGGACUGAGGAUUGCAACGAAUACCUUUUGGGCUAUCCGUCUGAUCUCUGAAAGUUGCUUAGGUGCCGAAAGCAUGCUUACGGUUAUUUAAGUUGACGGUCAAAAGGUUAGAACGUGUUUAUA